rnacentral:lncRNA from 1 species
UGUAAUGUUCUCUCAUUUCUUUCUACAGGUGACUUGGGAGCAGCAGUCAGCUUCAGCGACAUACACAGAUGAAGCGAGCUCUCUGGUGUUCUCCACCGAAAACCAUGCAGACGGUCAUUCCCGCGGACCAGGAGGAGGAGGAGGAGAGGCAGAUUGGGACUGAGAGCCACUCACCAGAACAACAUGGGGUGGCAUUUGGCCUGCUGACUAAAACGAACAGGUAAUGCCCUGUCAUGUCCUGCCCCAAACUCUUUCUGCUGUGAUGUUUCUGAUCAGGUCUGAUUUUGUUUCUGGCUGUGUGUUGCAGGAUGUUCACCUCUUCUGUCUACGGUCCUGUUUUCUUUUGCAUCAGUUUGCUGAGUGCAUACUCGGUGCGUCCCACCACUGGCACAAGAAGAAGAGCCGUAAACAAGACAUCCUGAAUAAGCUUUGCUGUCAAUGUGGGUUUGUGGAAACAGAUGACCUACAAUGGAUUGCCUGCAAUAGUUGCAACAAGUGGUUCCAUCAGGGAUGCGUCAACUCUCCAGCAGUGGACAAAGAAUAGGAAUGUGUUGUGUGCAUUGUCUAAAGUGUUUUCAUUAUUUUAUUUUUAUUUCAUUGUGUUGAAAUGCCCUUUUUUAUACUUUUAUUUAUAUUUUUUGCUGUAUGUUCAAUUGAUCUUUUUAAAACUGUACAUAGUUCCAUGUUGACUUUUUAUUAAAUUAUUUGAAUUAAAUUGCUUUUGCCUAAUUAAUUACUGUAGCAUAAAUUGUUUUACUUAUUAUAUGUAUGUGCGAAUUAUAUUUGACCCAUAUUACAUGUUUGAUUUAAAUAUUAAAAUGUAAUAGAUCUGACAAUUUUUUUCAAAACACAUAACUUUAUCUGGCAUAAAAUAUUUGUAUGUGUUUUAUUUGAAACUGCAAUAAAUUGUCCUUCCACUGUUA